GACGAACGCUGGCGGCGUGCUUAACACAUGCAAGUCGAACGCUGAAGCCCAGCUUGCUGGGUGGAUGAGUGGCGAACGGGUGAGUAACACGUGAGUAACCUGCCCCCUUCUUUGGGAUAACGCCCGGAAACGGGUGCUAAUACUGGAUAUUCACUGGCCUUCGCAUGGGGGUUGGUGGAAAGGUUUUUUCUGGUGGGGGAUGGGCUCGCGGCCUAUCAGCUUGUUGGUGGGGUGAUGGCCUACCAAGGCUUUGACGGUUAGCCGGCCUAAGAGGGCACCGGUCACAUUGGGACUGAGAUACGGCCCAGACUCCUCGAGAGGCAUCAGUGGGGAAUAUUGCAUAAUGGGCGAAAUCCUGAUGCAGCGACUCCGCGUGAGGGAUGACGGCCUUCGGGUUGGAAACCUCUUCUCUCAUGCUCUAGCCGCAACUUUGGGUUGUGGUGAGGGUAUUGGUAGUGAUGGUGUGUUCCUCCAUGGGGUUUUUGUGUAGUUGAUGUGUUGUGUUUGUUUGUAAUUUGUAGUAUGGGUUAAUCCUUGAAUGUAAUCUUACCACUGUGUCUUGAUAUUUUGUCUAUGUGGGUUGUUGUGUGUUGUGUUUGUGUUGUUUUGUGGUGGUGUGCUGGAAUGGGUGUGGAUGAUUUAAUUCUGUUGUUGUCUUUGCCACUGCUGUGUGUGUGGUGUUGUGGUGUUGAUGUGAUGUUUUGAGAUGUAAUGUCGUUUUGUGUGUUGUUUUUCCUGUUCUUUGUUGUUGAUUGUUUUUUUUAUGUGGUGUGUGGCUUGGUAUGUGUGUGUGUGAAUGCAAAAAAGACACAGACACAUGUCUGUUUGUGUGUGUGUCCCUGCUGUCUGUGUGCCGUAUGCUUGUUCACUUGUGUGGA
rnacentral:rRNA from 1 species